rnacentral:tmRNA from 1 species
GGGGGCGAAUGGCUUCGACCGGAUGGCGGAGAGCCAAGUUGCAUGUCCAGGACGCCGGUUGGCCUGGUUAAUCACCCGGCAACAAAGUUUAAUUGGCAACUCACAGUUGCGCAUGGCUGCUUAAUUUAGCAGCUCGUCCUGCCUGACUAAGGCCUGCGAGUUUGGUAAGGGCGUCAAAAAGCGGGCUGGCUGAGCCGGUUGUUCGGGCCGGCUUUAGCGAGAAACACCGAAAUAGCCGAGCUAAGAGCUUGUCGUUUGGUUUUUAGUAAGGCGAAAAAACAAUUAAACGACUAAACAUGUAGACGCUUGUCUUGAAACAUCUCGGGACGGGGGUUCGAAUCCCCCCGCCUCCAU